rnacentral:lncRNA from 1 species
CGCGGUUUUUAUUAUUUUUUUGUGACGAUCAUGAUCGAGAUAGUGCACCAAAAUUUGGGAAUAAGUAGGUCAUGACGUAACUAAGUAAAAUCUCCUGGGACAGAACGCUGCGUGACCGGCAAAAGGGGUGGGGGCAGGGUGAAUAUAAAAAUUAUAAGGGUUUUUUUUGUGGCGUUCCUGAUCGAGAUAGUGCACCAAAAUUUGGGAAGAAGUAGAUCAUGACAUAACUAAGUAAAAUCUCCAGGUGCAGAACGCUGUGUGGGGGACAAAUGGGUGGGGGCAGAGGUGAAUAUAAAAAUUAUAAGGGGUUUUCUGUGACAUUUGUCCCCGACGCAGCGUUCCGCCCCUAGAUACUUUACUUAGAUAUGUUGUAAUGAUAUGCCUAUAUGCUAAACAUGCCUCGACACUGGGAACCGAGCGAUUCUCUCAAUUCGCGCAGAUGCCCCCACCGAGUUCCACCUCUCCGAGACAACACCGGCACACGAAUAUUUAAGAAGGUCGCAAGCAGAAAUCAAGCAGUCCUGAACGACCGUUCUGGGCUCCAUAACCAGCCAAGCGAAGUGAGCGAGGCAGGCCGACCUGAGUAGCGACGUGCACUGUUUUGAGGUGAUUCGUAAACUUAGGCAGGCCAACUCGAGACGAAACGCAAGGUGUACCGAAGUGAGACGCCCAUCCGGAGGAGGACUUCGCUGGGACAAAAUAGAAGAUUGAAUUAUUAUUUUGACUUAUUUUGUACAUAAUUUAGAACUAAUAGAUUUGCUUUGUUUUCA